rnacentral:rRNA from 1 species
GACGAACGCUGGCGGCGUGCUUAACACAUGCAAGUCGAACGGAAAGGCCCUGCUUGCAGGGUACUCGAGUGGCGAACGGGUGAGUAACACGUGGGUGAUCUGCCCUGCACUUCGGGAUAAGCUUGGGAAACUGGGUCUAAUACCGGAUAGGAGCCAUCUUUAGUGUGGUGGUUGGAAAGUUUUUUCGGUGUAGGAUGAGCUCGCGGCCUAUCAGCUUGUUGGUGGGGUAAUGGCCUACCAAGGAGGCGACGGGUAGCCGGCCUGAGAGGGUGUACGGCCACAUUGGGACUGAGAUACGGCCCAGACUCCUACGGGAGGCAGCAGUGGGGAAUAUUGCACAAUGGGCGCAAGCCUGAUGCAGCGACGCCGCGUGGGGGAUGAAGGCCUUCGGGUUGUAAACUCCUUUCGCUAGGGACGAAGCUUUGUUGUGACGGUACCUAGAGAAGAAGCACCGGCUAACUACGUG